rnacentral:tRNA from 1 species
GGCCUCAUGAUGUAAUGGUUAGCACUCCAGACUCUGAAUUUGGUGAUCCGAGUUCAAGUCUCGGUGGAACCU